AUACAAAUCACCUGGCAUCCUGUUAAAAAGCAAAUUCUCAUUCACUAGGUUUGAGGUAAAGCCCAGAAUCCUGCAUUUGUAACAUGCUCCCAAGUGAUGCUUAU
rnacentral:miRNA from 1 species